rnacentral:rRNA from 1 species
UCAGGCCUAACACAUGCAAGUCGAACGAGAUUUUCGGAUCUAGUGGCGCACGGGUGAGUAACGCGUGGGAACCUACCUUUCAGUUCGGGACAACGUUUGGAAACGAACGCUAAUACCGUAUACGCCCUCCGGGGGAAAGGUCAGCCGCUGAAAGAGGGGCCCGCGUCUGAUUAGCUUGUUGGUAAGGUAACGGCUUACCAAGGCUACGAUCAGUAGCUGGUCUGAGAGGAUGAUCAGCCACACUGGGACUGAGACACGGCCCAGACUCCUACGGGAGGCAGCAGUGGGGAAUAUUGGACAAUGGAGGCAACUCUGAUCCAGCAAUGCCGCGUGUGUGAUGAAGGCCCUAGGGUUGUAAAGCACUUUCAACGGUGAAGAUGAUGACGGUAGCCGUAGAAGAAGCCCCGGCUAACUUCGUGCCAGCAGCCGCGGUAAUACGAAGGGGGCGAGCGUUAUUCGGAAUUAUUGGGCGUAAAGGGCUCGCAGGCUGCUUGAACAGUUAGACGUGAAAUCCCCGGGCUCAACCUGGGAACUGCGUUUAAUACUAGCAAGCUAGAGAGAUAGAGAGGAAAGUGGAACUCCCAGUGUAGAGGUGAAAUUCGUAGAUAUUGGGAAGAACACCAGUGGCGAAAGCGACUUUCUGGCUAUUUUCUGACGCUGAGGAGCGAAAGCGUGGGGAGCAAACAGGAUUAGAUACCCU